AUUGAACGCUGGCGGCAGGCUUAACACAUGCAAGUCGAGCGGGGAAAGGUAGCUUGCUACCUGACCUAGCGGCGGACGGGUGAGUAAUGCUUAGGAAUCUGCCCAUUAGUGGGGGACAACAUCUCGAAAGGGAUGCUAAUACCGCAUACGUCCUACGGGAGAAAGCAGGGGACCUUCGGGCCUUGCGCUAAUAGAUGAGCCUAAGUCGGAUUAGCUAGUUGGUGGGGUAAAGGCCUACCAAGGCGACGAUCUGUAGCGGGUCUGAGAGGAUGAUCCGCCACACUGGGACUGAGACACGGCCCAGACUCCUACGGGAGGCAGCAGUGGGGAAUAUUGGACAAUGGGGGGAACCCUGAUCCAGCCAUGCCGCGUGUGUGAAGAAGGCCUUUUGGUUGUAAAGCACUUUAAGCGAGGAGGAGGCUACCGAGAUUAAUACUCUUGGAUAGUGGACGUUACUCGCAGAAUAAGCACCGGCUAACUCUGUG
rnacentral:rRNA from 1 species